CCGGCCGACUGAGAGUCUGGCGACUCCGGGCUGGGGGCCCGACCAGGGCCCCGUCCUCUCCUCCCGUCACCCCCGAGCUACUGCAUCCCAGGCGCUUAGUAGGUGCCUAAGCGGAGGGAGGGGGAGAGGUGACUCCCUGGAACAGCCCGCGAGCGGGGGAGGGCAGGUGAGUCACCGAGCCGCACACAGGCUACAUGAUGUAUGAUGUGGUAUUACAUGGAACACAAGCAGAUAUGAGGAUCUAACUUUAGAGGAGACAUCCUACAGCAAGACUAUACCCAAAUCUCAACUCAGAAAGACCCAGAGUAAAGCUGGAAACGUGGGAGUCAUCUGUACCUGAAGAAUAUAGGGCAAGAAGAGAAAGAGGCCCAAGACCACCAAUUAAAAGGAAGAGGAGCCAGAACAGGAGACUCAGUUUCCCUCUGCAGCCCAGAGCCCUCCUUUCCUUUCCUAAAAUACACAUUUCCUUUCCCACAGCAUGGGCUUCUUAUUUGCUGCACCCUCUAUGGAAUUCCCUUUGCUCUAGCUCUUCAGCUUGGCUCCUGUAGGGUAAGGUAAAAGGUAUCAGGCUUUUCUGCCCUCCCGCCAUCAGGAUAGAUGACGGAACCCUGCGGUCCUGAAUGCAUGCCUGAUGGCGGGCACCUGGAGUAGGGUGUGGGCAUAGGUAGAUGGGAUUCACCUGGGCUAAGACUGGGCUCUUAAGGGCGGCAUAACAGGGAUGCCAGCAGAAGCCAAGAGAGAAGCAGAGCCAUGAGAAGAGCAGAGAGAAUGUGAGAGAAGGUCGGAGAGCCCAGAGUGAAGACUUGGCAGGCCUCCCAGCCCCCCAGCGCCCCUGCCUGCCGUGUACCUGGUAAUCUGAAUAAAACACCUGCA